rnacentral:lncRNA from 13 species
AUGUUGGCUCCGCCCAACACUGAUGCAGAGAGGAGGGGCUUAACUCAGUCAGCUGAUCUGUUCCAGGAGCUGCAGAGAGAGGUGAUGGUGAAGCUGCGUGUUCCCAUGACAACCGGCCGUUCCCUCCCCUCCUCCCCCCUUCCCCUCUCCUUGGCCCCUCACAGACAGAUCUACCUUCCUCCCCCCUCCUCUUCCUCCUAUGAGGACAGACCCAUGCUACCUCCACGCUCCCCCAUCCCACCCCUACGCUCCUCCAAACGCGUUUCCCUAUGUGAGAGGGAAAACACACCCCCCCAGAUCCCUCCCAGAGACCACGCUUUCUCUCAGCCCUCCUCACGCUCCUCCUCCCCCCUUCCUUUAGUGCUUCCCCUCUCUGUCUCCCCUCUCUCCUCCUCCCUUUGUCUCCCCCCUCCUCCCCUCUCCUUCUCUCCUCGUCAGAGGACUGGACUAUACGGGGUUGUUGGUCCUCUCGGCUCUCUAAUCUCCUCCUCCCCCUCUUCCUCUCCUCCCUCCUCCUCCCUCUAUUCAUCCAUGCUUAUAGCUGCCCCUCCCCCCAGUUCCUCAUUGGAUCCCCUCUCUGAGGGGCGUGACCUGUCAAUACUUAUUGACAACUCUCAGAGUUCUGAACGCCCCGCCUACUUAGAGAGGUAUGGAGCCACCAAAAUGGCCACCGUCCGACCCAUGGUGCAACAGCAGCCAGGUGGGGGUGGGGCCAGGCCUAACUCCUCCCACAACAACAACAAUCACAGGACUCAACAUUUAACUGCAGCUCCCGGCAGGCAACGGGAGAACGGCCUCAUUCAGGUUAGAGAUGUUCAGAACAAUGAGGCUGCAUUGUGUCAGAAAUGCAUUCAAGUGCAAGACUUCUGAACCUAUGAGAUGCUUAAACAUUGUGUGUGUGUGUGUGUGCGUGUGUGUUUACACGCACACAAACACACACACUCUCUAACAUCUGUAUUCUCUCUAACAUCUCUCUCUCUCUAUAACAUCUGCAUUCUCUCUAACAUCUCUCUCUCUCUAUAACAUCUGUAUUCUCUCUAACAUCUCUCUCUCUAUAACAUCUGCAUUCUCUCUAACAUCUCUCUCUCUAACAUCUGUAUUCUCUCUAUCUCUCUCUCUCUCUCUCUAACAUCUGUAUUCUCUCUAACAUAUCUCUCUCGCUAUAACAUCUGUUUUAUCUCUAACAUCGCUCUCUCUCUCUAUAACAUCUGUGUUCUCUCUAACAUAUUUCUCUCUCUAUAACAUCUGUGUUCUCCCUAACAUCUCUUUUUCCCUCUCUCUCUAUAACAUCUGUGUUCUCUCUAACAUCUCUCUCUCUCUCUAACAUCUGUAUUCUCUCUAACAUAUCUCGCUCUCUCUCUCUCUCUAACAUCUGUAUUCUCGAUAACAUCUCUCUCUCUCUAUAUAUAUAUCUCUCUCUAUAUAUAUACUGUAUAUAUAUAUAUAUAACAUCUGUAAUCUCUCUAACAUCUGUCUCUCUCUCUCUCUCUCUAUAACAUCUGUAUCUCUCUCUCUCUAUAACAUCUGUAUCUUUCUGUUGUAGGUAGAACAGUUGUUCCAGCUGGGUCUGCGUUCUAGAACAGAGUGCCAGGAGGUUCUAGAGCGUUGCCAGUGGAACCUAGAACAGGCAAGCACCAUGCUACUGGACUCUUGUGGAAAAGUAGGCUGAGACAGACUCCAGGACUACUGACCUACAGACUUAAAACUACUGAUCUUUAACCCUACAGACCUACUGUUCUAAAAACUACAAACCUUUACCUAUUACUACAGGCCUUUAUCUACAGACCUGAAACAACAAACCUUUACCUAUUACUACAGACCUUUAACUACAGACCAGCCACCUGUAUACUAGAGAACUCUGACAAUGAAGUGAAGCCAACCGAUUUNNNNNNNNNNNNNNNNNNNNNNNNNNNNNNNNNNNNNNNNNNNNNNNNNNNNNNNNNNNNNNNNNNNUUGGUCGUACUGAUGGUGAGUUGACGCUGAUCUUAUAUUCAGUAGUUCUUCUCAACUGUAUGUAAUGAAACCUAAGAUGACCUGGGGUACUAAUGUAAGAAAUAACACGUAAAAAAACAAAAAACUGCAUAGUUUCCUAGGAACGCGAAGCAAGGCGGCCAUCUCUGUCGGCGCCGGAAGUAUGGAAUGUGAUGAUGCAUGGGAUGUGAUGAUGCAUGGGAUGUGAUGGUGCAUGGGAUGUGAUGGGAUGUGAUGAUGCAUGGGAUGUGAUGAUGCAUGGGAUAUGAUGAUGCAUGGAAUGUGAUGAUGCAUGGAAUGUGAUGAUGCAUGGAAUGUGAUGAUGCAUGGAAUGUGAUGAUGCAUGGGAUGUGAUGAUGCAUGGAAUGUGAUGAUGCAUGGAAUGUGAUGAUGCAU